rnacentral:rRNA from 1 species
AGGACGAACGCUGGCGGCGUGCUUAACACAUGCAAGUCGAGCGACGCUCCUCCUUCGGGAGGAUGACGGAGCGGCGAACGGGUGAGUAACACGUGGGCAACCUGCCCCUAGCUCUGGGAUAACCCCGGGAAAUCGGGACUAAUACCGGAUAUGAAGUCGGACGGCAUCUUCUGACUUGGAAAGUUUUUCGGCUAGGGAUGGGCCCGCGGCCUAUCAGCUUGUUGGUGGGGUAACGACCUACCAAGGCGACGACGGGUAGCCGGCCUGAGAGGGCGACCGGCCACACUGGGACUGAGACACGGCCCAGACUCCUACGGGAGGCAGCAGUGGGGAAUAUUGCACAAUGGGCGAAAGCCUGAUGCAGCGACGCCGCGUGAGGGAUGACUGCCUUCGGGUUGUAAACCUCUUUCAGCAGGGACGAAGCGAAAGUGACGGUACCUGCAGAAGAAGCACCGGCCAACUACGCGCCAGCAGCCGC